UGAAUCUUGUUUCAAUUCAUGAUAGAGAGAGAAUAAUCCAGAAAGAUAAUGGGGGGAGAGGGGCCUAGAGAGAGAGAGUGCACAGUCGCCGGCAACAUUAUCCGGUGACCCUCUGUUACUCGGGACACGACGACGAGACUAUGGUUCCGAAGAACGACCAGGGUGAUGUGAGUGAAGUGACAUGAAGGCAACAUUAUCCGGUGACCCUCUGUUACUCACCGUCAUCAUCUCCGGUCUACCACGACACCGAUUACAAAGGGGUUUUCUUCUUUCGCCGUUAGGUAUCUUUUGAUCAUGCUUCGCGAUGCACCUUUGGAGGUUUGGGCGAUGACAAAAACUCCAAUAAUGCAUAUGUUCGUGCAACAAUGUGGUAACGCCCUAUCGGUUGGUCAGCUGUCAUGAGGACAUUGGUUGUCUUACCCAGUCCAAGCAUGAGGACCCUGGUGGUGAAGGGUUCUACACAGGAAGCAUCAGUUUUCAACACUGUAUUGUAAGUUUGUGGUUAGCAAUGAUGAAAUGAUGAAUAAUAGUUGUUGAUUUAAGGCAACAUAGGCUUGUUUCUCGCGAAUCAACGAGUAGUUUGAUCGUUUCUAUUCACAAAAAAAAAAGAAAACAUAAAAUCAUAUUCUUAACAAUAUAAAAAAAUAUAAAAUUUAUUAUGUUUUGUAAAAGCAAACCUUUGCUGGAGCAUUUAUAAAGAUCACCAAGUUAACCAUUAAUGGUAUACCCAUCAAUAAAAUUUUGGAGCCGCACCUGUUCUUGUGGCUUUUCGUACUACAUCUAUCUGGUUUGUAUCCCACCACUCGUCCGCCAUCAUCAUAAUAGAUCAGGUAUGUAAUAAUAUUAAGCUUUUGCAAAAUUUACAUUUUCUAUGUGAAAAAACUUUAUACCAAGAGUAAUGAGUGAUUCUUGACUUGUAAGAUGCUUUCAUGAUUUGUGUGUCUGAAUCUUGACCGACAUAGGUUUUCAUGUUUUCAGCUUGCACCAGGUGGCACUGUUGUAGGGACAACUUGCAGCAGUGGCUGAUGAAACAAGGUAAUUGGUACAGCAACUUAGAAGAGGUUCAACGGUCCUAAGCAAUCAUCGACCAUGCUUGAUUGUAGGAGCACCCCUUAUAUCAUGACUCAUAGUCGAUUUUUGUCUCUUCCCCUCAUCGUUCGAUACCCGCACACCACACCAAAUGCCACACAACGGAAACUGUCAAGGCAUCACCAACAAGUUCCACAUCUGCGGAUCUGAUGCUUUUUUCCCUUCAUGAUUCAGGGGGACAUCAUCAGUGGUGCUUGCAGGGCUUAUUUCUGCACUAAAAUUAGUUGGCGAAUCUUUGGCAAAACACAAUUUUUAUUCAUUGGAGCUGCAGAGAGGCAUUGCUGAACUCACAGCUCUUGGAAGGCCCACUUUUUGGUAAAUCUGAUCACAAGUGCUAUUAUGGUCCUAUGGCGUUUACUUGCUGGUAUAGUGGCCAGGGAAUGAUUACUCUGAUCGAAGGAGAUUCGCGACAAAGCCAUAACAUUAAGCGCGGGGAACUCUUCUAUGUAUCGGUGUGAAUCACCGCGUAUCUAAUCAACAUCGACAACAACGGACGCCUUGUUUUGGCGAAGAUUCUACAUUCGGUCUCCGUCCCCGGUGAAUUGCAGCUCUUUAGCAUAGGAGGUGGUAAUGCAGAGUCAUCAUUCUACAACGCGUUCAGUAUCGAAGUUCUUGAAGUUGCAUUUGGUGUUGAUCGCGAAUCGGCUCAUAAAAUGGUUGGGCAGCAGAAUACUGAGGAGCAAAUUAGAUCGUUGUCCGGAGAAGAUAAAAGUAGCCGUUGGCCUUUUGGCGACCGAAAAGGAAAGGGAAGGGGCACACAUAUCUACAAGAACGAACCAUCUGUGUGGAAUAUACCUCAUUGUUGGGCGACUGGUUACUUUUAGAUAUGAAAAUUAUUGGUUUUUGCACUUCUUUUAGAAAUAGAACAAUAAGGUAAUCUAUGUUACGGGUAUUGUAAAUGGUAAGAGUUACUGAUAUGUUUAUU